AGUUAGCUGACGAGUCCCCAAUAGGACGAAGCGUGCAUCCUGAAU
rnacentral:hammerhead_ribozyme from 1 species